UUAAGUGAAUUUUGCUCACAGGGUGAAAUAAAAUCUUUCAGGUUGUUCAUCUUGAUAUAUCCAUGGUGAAACCCAGGGGCCCCCCCUCAACUAAUUUUUUUCGCCCAGGGCCCCCAGGCGUCUCAGGACGGCCCUGUGCCUGGAGCCACUGCCGCUUUCAGUGCUGACGCUUCCUGUUACAUGUCAAACAAAAAUUUGUUCUCGGAGUCGAUGACAAAAGAUUGAAAGAGACUUUUUUCACACCGUUGAAUCACCGAGCUCAUCAUCUGAUGUCCAUCUCAACAUUCAUCCAGAGAUAACACACACGUCAGAUAACACACACACACACACACAUCAGAUAACACACACACACACGAGUUUCUUGUCGGUGCACCUACCUUAUGUCUCCAACUGGAAUAUGAAAAACCCCAGACUGUGGAAUGAGGUUUAUUUUAUUGAAAACUGUGGUCAGCAUCAUUUCAGUGCCUUGAACAGAUGUUGAGACUUUUAUUCGUUACUGUGUUCAUGAGAUUGGAUCCAUCUUUACAUGUAAUGACUUGUUUCCCCCCGUUAUUGACAAACUGGGCUUGGUUGUAUAUAAUUAGACGCAUUAGAUGCUGUGGUGUAUGUGGUCUCCACUUCCCAUCAUUCCCUUUGCAGUAUUCAGUGUCAGUGCUGUAGAAAUCCAAACACUUGAACAUUUCCUCUGUUCAUGUUAGUUGAUGGUUGAAAGCUAUUUAAUUUCAAAAUUACAACCUUCAAAACUACUCUAAUGGGAUGUACAAGGUGUAUAUGUACAUUAUAUGUAACAGAAAAAACAAUGUUAAUCAUUCCAUGUUGUUCAUGUGAAGUAUUCCUUUUAAUUGACGAGUUGUUUGAUCAUUUUUCUUUAAAUAGCGACCUCACUGGCAAGAUGUCACAGUUUUGUUUAGUCUUGUUUUGUGCUGAAACAUCAGCAGCAGCUCCGGAAGCUGUUUCUCUCUUUUAUGGCUAAACAUUUAACAAACUGACAUCAUGGAGGUCAGCUCAGCUCAAAGCUUCACAUUUAGCUGUCGGAGACAAUCCAAUAAGAACAACAUCGUUUGAGUGGGUAUGAAAUGUCAUUUUAUUUUACGUCUUGCCAAAGAAUCACCGUGUAUAAACCAACGACUGAUUUUUCUAUAAAUGACAUUACCAGAUUGUUCUGUAGAACUGUAAAAGCCAUUUCAAAGGUUCCUCUCAGAUCGUACCUGUAUAAUAUGGCAUAUCAGAAUAAAAGAUUAUUUUCUGACA